GGGCGUUUAGCUCAGACGGCUAGAGCGCUUCCCUUACAAGGAAGAGGUCACUGGUUCAAGUCCAGUAACGCCCA
rnacentral:tRNA from 1 species